rnacentral:rRNA from 1 species
ACGAACGCUGGCGGCGUGGAUAAGACAUGCAAGUCGAACGAGAGAAUUGCUAGCUUGCUAAUAAUUCUCUAGUGGCGCACGGGUGAGUAACACGUGAGUAACCUGCCCCCGAGAGCGGGAUAGCCCUGGGAAACUGGGAUUAAUACCGCAUAGUAUCGAAAGAUUAAAGCAGCAAUGCGCUUGGGGAUGGGCUCGCGGCCUAUUAGUUAGUUGGUGAGGUAACGGCUCACCAAGGCGAUGACGGGUAGCCGGUCUGAGAGGAUGUCCGGCCACACUGGAACUGAGACACGGUCCAGACACCUACGGGUGGCAGCAGUCGAGAAUCAUUCACAAUGGGGGAAACCCUGAUGGUGCGACGCCGCGUGGGGGAAUGAAGGUCUUCGGAUUGUAAACCCCUGUCAUGUGGGAGCAAAUUAAAAAGAUAGUACCACAAGAGGAAGAGACGGCUAACUCUGUGCCAGCAGCCGCGGUAAUACAGAGGUCUCAAGCGUUGUUCGGAAUCACUGGGCGUAAAGCGUGCGUAGGCUGUUUCGUAAGUCGUGUGUGAAAGGCGCGGGCUCAACCCGCGGACGGCACAUGAUACUGCGAGACUAGAGUAAUGGAGGGGGAACCGGAAUUCUCGGUGUAGCAGUGAAAUGCGUAGAUAUCGAGAGGAACACUCGUGGCGAAGGCGGGUUCCUGGACAUUAACUGACGCUGAGGCACGAAGGCCAGGGGAGCGAAAGGGAUUAGAUACCCCUGUAGUCCUGGCAGUAAACGGUGCACGCUUGGUGUGCGGGGAAUCGACCCCCUGCGUGCCGGAGCUAACGCGUUAAGCGUGCCGCCUGGGGAGUACGGUCGCAAGAUUAAAACUCAAAGAAAUUGACGGGGACCCGCACAAGCGGUGGAGUAUGUGGCUUAAUUCGAUGCAACGCGAAGAACCUUACCUGGGCUUGACAUGUAAUGAACAACAUGUGAAAGCAUGCGACUCUUCGGAGGCGUUACACAGGUGCUGCAUGGCCGUCGUCAGCUCGUGUCGUGAGAUGUUUGGUUAAGUCCAGCAACGAGCGCAACCCCUGUUGCCAGUUACCAGCACGUGAAGGUGGGGACUCUGGCGAGACUGCCCAGAUCAACUGGGAGGAAGGUGGGGACGACGUCAGGUCAGUAUGGCCCUUAUGCCCAGGGCUGCACACGUACUACAAUGCCCAGUACAGAGGGGGCCGAAGCCGCGAGGCGGAGGAAAUCCUAAAAACUGGGCCCAGUUCGGACUGUAGGCUGCAACCCGCCUACACGAAGCCGGAAUCGCUAGUAAUGGCGCAUCAGCUACGGCGCCGUGAAUACGUUCCCGGGUCUUGUACACACCGCCCGUCACAUCGUGGAAGCCGGUCGCACCCGAAGUAUCUGAAGCCAACCGCAAGGAGGCAGGGUCCUAAGGUGAGACUGGUAACUGGGAUG